GCUCGGAUGGUGAAACUGGUAGACACAUACGUCUCAGACGCGUAUGCCGAAAGGUGUGAGGGUUCGAGUCCCUCUCCGAACA
rnacentral:tRNA from 1 species